AGAAAUUGCCAAUUAAACACCAGUGUUUAAUACGUUAUGAUAGAAAAUGACGCAGUUGAUUAUGUCAUAACAUGGCAUUAGAACGCAGAAGAUGUAGAAUCACGCAUAUACUGACAAAGAAACACCAUAUCCAGCAAUGAAAUAGGAGGGACGUUCAUCUGUUAUUGUGAAUCCUGAGAAGCAUACAUUACUUGAUAAAGAAAAGGGAUUUUAAACGAAGAUCAUUCUUAACCUUGAGAGGAUAUUUCUGCAGAGAAGAAGGAACUAGAACUACUUAGUGUGGAUACAAUUUUGGAGAUUGGAAAACUGGAGAUUAUCAUCCGUUGUAGGAGAACCUGAAUUUUACCCACAACCAGAGGAGCUAGACUGUUUAACUCGGUUAGAAUAUUACAUGAUAUUGAGUGAGUGAUACCCCGGCAGCCCAUGUAUAGUAUCGAGAAUAUUUAAUGAAUUAGUCCUUUACAGGUCAAAACUGGAAAAUUUCUUCAUUUGGUUAUAAAACUCUGAAUAAUUAUGAAAGUAAACUUUACAGCUGGAUUUAUCAGUCUGAGUGUAGAUUUAAUACAUGUAUAUACAUGUACAUCCCGUACCCAGAUAACAAAUAACAUUUUCAGUCUUUUUGCAUCAUAUAUAUUCAUGGAUUUGUUUCUUUUAUUAUUAAAAAAAAGAUGCAAAGGACGACCUAGCCCUUUUUAAAAUUUUACUGAUGAAAGAUAUUUCAUUUUAUUAAUCGAUAAUGUAUUUUAUUUUAUAUUUCAAAGACACCCCCUUCCCGAAAUCAAUUUAUUGGAUUUUAGUUUACACAUGCAGGAUAUACAUGUUCGUCCUAGUUUGUUUUGAUAAUUCUAUUUUUAAAACUUAAAUUGAAAUGUAUCUUUGUGUAAAUAAAUGUGUUGUUUAAUGUUAUUAUUGUUUAUUAAGU